UCAAGAAGAAGAUGAGAAUCA
rnacentral:sRNA from 1 species